UUCGGACUGUAGGCUGCAACUCGCCUACACGAAGUCGGAAUCGCUAGUAACCGCGGAUCAGCAUGCCGCGGUGAAUACGUUCCCGGGCCUUGUACACACCGCCCGUCACACCAUGGGAGUUUGUAACGCCCAAAGUCGGUGGCCUAACCUUUAUGGAGGGAGCCGCCUAAGGCGGGACAGAUGACUGGGUGAAGUCGUAACAAGGUAGC
rnacentral:rRNA from 1 species